AGGGGAUUCUGCAUAAAUCUGAAGAAACCUGGUUUAUACUAUGGAAACCACGAGCAAGAACAAUGGUGGUUCUGUGACUUUUGAAUAUUGGAUCUCAAAACUUGGAGUGAACAUUCAGUUUAUGCCCAAUACAUAACAGUUAGCAUAACCGGUCGAUGUUCACACAACCAACAUAAAAAAAAGUAGGAAACAUGGAUUCAUUGUCUGCUCCGGCUGCAAGCGAGGAAAGGAUAUAUAAUACUACAACAGUGAAAGAUAAGUUCCUUUAAACAAUUGUAAAAAGACUAUUUAUUUAAACAGAAAGUUCUUAGACUUUUAGUUUGAUAUAUUCUGUUGUAGCAAGUAGAGAGUAACAAAAGCUUACACUCUCAUCAGCCAAGAUGAAUUUUAUGGUUUCCCGUGAUAGUUGUAUGUUUUGUUUUCAAGAGUGUAGAACCUUCACAUGAAUAAACCAUGUAUUUUUCCAAGGCCUCAAGUCUUUAAUGGCAGUAACUUUUUCGUA